GGGCCAUUAGUUCAGUCGGUUAGAACGUUCGCUUGAUAAGCGAAAGGUCGCUAAUUCAAGUUUAGCAUGGCCCA
rnacentral:tRNA from 1 species